rnacentral:rRNA from 1 species
CAGCACCGCGGGAAUACGUAGGUGGCAAGCGUUGUCCGGAAUUAUUGGGCGUAAAGCGCGCGCAGGUGGUUUAAUAAGUCUGAUGUGAAAGCCCACGGCUCAACCGUGGAGGGUCAUUGGAAACUGUUAAACUUGAGUGCAGGAGAGAAAAGUGGAAUUCCUAGUGUAGCGGUGAAAUGCGUAGAGAUUAGGAGGAACACCAGUGGCGAAGGCGGCUUUUUGGCCUGUAACUGACACUGAGGCGCGAAAGCGUGGGGAGCGAACAGGAUUAGAUACCCCUGUAGUCCCUGUCUCUUAUACA